ACACAAAUUUAGAAGGCCACCGAGCAAAUUUGGUUCAGACAGCUUGGGCAUUGUUAUCCCUCAUCAAGGCUGGGCAGGCUGAUAUAAAUCCUACACCCAUACAUCGUGGAAUAAGAGUGUUGAUCAAUAUGCAAAUGGAAGAUGGUGACUUCCCUCAAAAGGAGAUCACAGGAGUGUUUAUGAAGAAUUGCACGUUAAACUACUCAUCAUAUCGAAACAUCUUUCCAAUAUGGGCCUUGGGAGAAUAUCGUCGCCGUCUUUUAUUUGCUUAACCUACCUUUAUUUAUGUAUCAUUUGAAAAUGGCUACUGUAUACAUAUAUACAUAUGUAUAAUAUAUGGUGUAAUAGUAUUUCUUUAGCAAAGACUUGGGGUAUAUUUUUAUUUAUUUUUACUUAUUAUGGUAUGUAAUAUUCUAUCUCUUCAAAAGAAGGAGAUGGAUAGAUGUGAGACAUUUGUCGUAAUUACAUUAUAUAAG